rnacentral:rRNA from 1 species
UACGGGGGGGGCAAGCGUUGUUCGGAAUUACUGGGCGUAAAGGGCUCGUAGGCGGCCAACUAAGUCAGACGUGAAAUCCCUCGGCUUAACCGGGGAACUGCAUCUGAUACUGGAUGGCUUGAGUUCGGGAGAGGGAUGCGGAAUUCCAGGUGUAGCGGUGAAAUGCGUAGAUAUCUGGAGGAACACCGGUGGCGAAGGCGGCAUCCUGGACCGGCACUGACGCUGAGGAGCGAAAGCUAGGGGAGCAAACAGGG